rnacentral:rRNA from 1 species
UACAGAGGUGGCAAGCGUUGUUCGGAAUUACUGGGCGUAAAGGGCGCGUAGGCGGUUCGUUAAGUUCUGUGUGAAAUCCCCCGGCUCAACUGGGGAACUGCACAGGAAACUAGCGGGCUUGAGUUCGGGAGAGGGAAGCGGAAUUCCGGGUGUAGCGGUGAAAUGCGUAGAUAUCCGGAGGAACACCGGUGGCGAAGGCAGCUCUCUGGGACGGUACUGACACUGAGACGCGAAAGCGUGGGGAGCAAACAGG